rnacentral:rRNA from 1 species
UACGGGGGGGGGCAAGCGUUGUUCGGAAUUACUGGGCGUAAAGGGCUCGUAGGCGGCCAACUAAGUCAGACGUGAAAUCCCCAGGCUCAACCUGGGAACUGCGUCUGAUACUGGAUGGCUUGAAUCCGGGAGAGGGAUGCAGAAUUCCAGGUGUAGCGGUGAAAUGCGUAGAUAUCUGGAGGAACACCGAUGGCGAAGGCAGUCCCCUGGGCCUGUACUGACGCUCAUGCACGAAAGCGUGGGGAGCAAACAGG